CUAGGGUGACAGCAGGUGACAUGGGAGCAAAUGAAGGGCCUGAAGAGAAACUGAACAUGCUAUCUCAAAGAGAGAAUCAUCGUUAUCACCCUCUGCCAUGUAAAUCUAAAAGUAUAGCUGAUGUGACACAGAUGGAAGAUAAAGAAGAUAGAAGAUGUGAAGAAAAGGGCUCAUAAUCUGAGCACAGACAUACGGAAAGAGAAAUUUCAGAUUUACUGCAUAUAGAAUGGCCAGCCUUUGACGUGGGAUGGCCCCAAGAAGGAACUUUGCACCUACCUAUUAUCUUAUCUUAUCUGAAGGCCGUGAUCUUCAGGGACAAACUGGACGGCCACCCUGACCAGGUGCCCUACAUCCUGGCCUGGCAGGACAUGAUCGAGAAUCCCCCUCCUUGGAUAAAACUAUUUUUACCCCCCAACGCAGGACCUACCAAGAUUCUAGCCCCGCGGAAAGGCCGAGAAGGAGACGGACCCUAAGACAAAAGUGCCUCUUUAUCCAGUUUUACAGGAUUUCUCUCCAGAGGACCUGAUCCUCCUGCCCGACCUACUGGGCACCCCCUCGCCCUUCGACCCCCCAUCAGAGGCACCGGGGUCUGCAGAAGGGGCGCCCCCCACCCUGACGACGGAGUCCCUGUGCGCGGGCCAACAGCGCGGAUGCGCGGAGGGACCCACGGGGCGGCCCCACCCCGGAUCGCGGGCGGCUGACUCCACCGCCUUUGCUCUCCGCCGUGGGACCCCCCAACAAGACUGGCGGACAGCUAAUGUUGGACUGGCCAUUCUCCACCAGUGCUUUAUAUAAUCGGAAAACCCAAAAUGCAAAGUUCUCUGAUAAUCCGAGAGAUCUAAUCGGGCUUUUAGAUACUGUUCUCUUUACCCACCAGCCUACUUGGGAGGACAGCGACAGCUCUGCAGGUUCUCUGCACCACCGAAGAGAGGGAACGAAUUCAGGUGGAAGCCUGGAAGUCUGUCCUGGGAGAGGACAGACAGCCGACUCAAAACCCACUCCUCAUGAAUGCUGCCUUCCCCUUAUCCCGCCCCACCUGGGACCACAACUCGGCUGUAGGUAAGGAGAGACUCCGGGUCCACCGCCAGACUCUAGGCGCAGGUCUCCAGGCUGCUGCGCGCAAGCCCACCAAUCUGGCCAAGGUCUAUGAUGUAAGACAGGGCAAGGAUGAGAGUCCAGCAGCCUUCUUAGAGAGAGUCAUAGAGGCUUUUAGGCAGUGCACACCAAUGAACCCAGAAGCCCCGGAAACCAAGGCCGCAAUUAUCAUGGCCUUUGUUAACCAGGCUGCUCUGAACAUUAAAAAGAAAUUGCAAAGAGUAGAGACACUAGGAUAGAAGAGCUUGCAGGACUUAGUAAUAGUAGCAGAAAGAGUCUAUAAUAAUAGAGAAAGUCUGGAAGAGCAGCAAACCAAACUAAG